rnacentral:rRNA from 1 species
CAGCAGCCGCGGGAAUACAAAGGGUGCAAGCGUUAAUCGGAAUUACUGGGCGUAAAGCGUGCGUAGGCGGUGAGUUAAGUCUGCUGUGAAAUCCCCGGGCUCAACCUGGGAAUGGCAGUGGAUACUGGCUCGCUAGAGUGUGUCAGAGGAUGGUGGAAUUCCCGGUGUAGCGGUGAAAUACGUAGAGAUCGGGAGGAACAUCAGUGGCGAAGGCGGCCAUCUGGGACAACACUGACGCUGAGGCACGAAAGCGUGGGGAGCAAACAGGAUUAGAUACCCCGGUAGUCCCUGUCUCUUAUAC